CGCCUACGGGGGGCAGCAGUGGGGAAUAUUGCACAAUGGGGGAAACCCUGAUGCAGCAACGCCGCGUGAAGGAAGACGGUUUUCGGAUUGUAAACUUCUGUUCUUAGUGAAGAAAAAUGACGGUAGCUAAGGAGCAAGCCACGGCUAACUACGGGCCAGCAGCCGCGGUAAUACGUAGGUGGCAAGCGUUGUCCGGAAUUACUGGGUGUAAAGGGAGCGCAGGCGGGAAGCCAAGGCAGCUGUGACAACUACGGGCUUAACUUGUAGACUGCAGGUGAAACUGGAUUUAGUGAGGGAAGUAGAGG
rnacentral:rRNA from 1 species